rnacentral:rRNA from 1 species
AUGCUUAACACAUGCAAGUCGAUUCCAUUUGCCUUCCGGUAUUGAGGAUGGCGGACGGGUGAGUAACGCGUAAGGAACUUGCCUCUUGGACUGGGACUACUGUUGGAAACGACAGCUAAUACCGGAUAUUAUGAGAUUCUCGCAUGAGAAACUUAUGAAAGCUAUAUGCGCCAAGAAAGAGCCUUGCGUUCCAUUAGCUAGUUGGUGGGGUAAUGGCCCACCAAGGCAACAAUGGAUAGCCGGCCUGAGAGGGUGAACGGCCACAAGGGGACUGAAACACGGCCCUUACUCCUACGGGAGGCAGCAGUGGGGAAUAUUGGACAAUGGGCCACAAGCCUGAUCCAGCAAUUCUGUGUGCACGAUGAAGGUCUUCGGAUUGUAAAGUGCUUUCAGUUGGGAAGAAGAAAGUGACGGUACCAACAGAAGAAGCGACGGCUAAAUACGUGCCAGCAGCCGCGGUAAUACGUAUGUCGCAAGCGUUAUCCGGAUUUAUUGGGCGUAAAGCGCGUCUAGGCGGAAAAAUAAGUCUGAUGUUAAAAUGCGGGGCUCAACUCCGUAUUGCGUUGGAAACUGUUUUUCUAGAGUACUGGAGAGGUGGGCGGAACUACCAGUGUAUAGGUGAAAUUCGCAGAUAUUUGUAGGAAUGCCCAGGGAGAAAUCGGCUCACUGGACAGAUACUGACGCUGAAACGCGAAAGCGUGGGGGACAAACAGGAUUAGAUACCCCUGGUAGUCCACGCCGUAAACGAUGAUCAGUAGGUGUUGGGGGUCGAACCUCUGCGCCCAAGCUAACGCGAUAAGUGAUCCGCCUGGGAGUACGCACGCAAGUGUGAUACUCAUAGGAAUUGACGGGGACCCGCACAAGCGGUGGAGCAUGUGGUUUAAUUCGACGCAACGCGAGAAACCUUACCAGCGUUUGACAUCAUAAGAAGUUUCCAGAGAUGGAUUCGUGCUGGCUUGCCGGAACUUAGUGACAGGUGGUGCAUGGCUGUCGUCAGCUCGUGUCGUGAGAUGUUGGGUUAAGUCCCGCAACGAGCGCAACCCUCUAUUGUAUGUUGCUACCAUUAAGUUGAGCAUUCAUGCGAUACUGCCUGCGAUGAGCAGGAGGAAGGUGGGGAUGACGUCAAGUCAUCAUGCCCCUUAUACGCUGGGCUACACACGUGUUACAAUGGGCAGUACAGAGAGUUGCCAACCCGCGAGGGUGAGCUAAUCUCUUAAAGCUGUUCUUAGUUCGGAUUGUAUUCUGCAACUCGAGUACAUGAAGUUGGAAUCGCUAGUAAUCGCAAAUCAGCAUGUUGCGGUGAAUACGUUCUCGGGUCUUGUACACACCGCCCGUCACACCACGAGAGUUGGUUGCACCUGAAGUAGCAGGCCUAACC